CACAAGCGAGCCACUUCACUAACCGGUGACACCAAGGCAAAGGAGAUCUGCCUAUAUCUAGCCAAAGCGGCAUCUGUACCAUACUUCAACAUGCUGGAGGGCUGGGUGUACAGGGGGCGCAUCAACAA